UCGGACGUGGGGUAGAAGUUAACCUGCUCCCCUCCCACAUGAUAGCCCGGGUGCAAAUCCCGGCGUUCGAA